AUGCUUCCCAUCUAUCCAUGCAUCUCUUUGUGCCACAUAUCACUGGACAGAGAUUUGGAGAAACCUGUAGAAGCAAUCCUAGGGCAGCCUCUGGGUCAGUUUUCCCUAAUAAGAAGCCAGAGCUCCUCUUUACCCAGACGUCAGACCCAUGGAGACAGCCUGGGAUCCUGGGAUGCCCUCCCGCUCAGAGAUGUCCCCAUUGUCCGAGGAAAAUGGAGGCUGACUAGGAAGAAGCGGUCUGUGGCCGGGGAUGGGUCUACACAUUCUAAUCCAUCUCAGUACUGUCUGCUAUUGAUUUUUCGUGCAGAUCACAUUAAUUUAAAGCCAGUUCUCAAGAAGCACCACCCUGUCCCCGACAUAUCCACCAGUUGGGCCCCUUUCCUGCCAUUAAUCAGUGUCUGCUAAUUAGAGAACAAACUCCUGUUUGUCCAAACCGUUGCCAAGACCCCCACCGCAAGGCAGUUAAAUGAGGAUAAAUGAGUCCAUCUUAUUAAAAAGUGACUUAAAUUUAUCAAAUUCUAUUUAUGUUUCUUUUACAUCCCAAUUUUCUAUAGAGUUAGUGGUUCCAAAUGAUAAGGUCUCAAGCCCAUAGUAAUUUAUCCUUUGAGUAACACAAGCUUGGCGGUAUUUUGGUAAUAUUCAUGACAACAGCAGCAGUGGUGCUAACAAGGACUGAUGUCACCAGAGCACCUUCUAUGUCCAAGCAUGGUGCACCAUACUUCCCAUGCAUUAUCUCAUUUAAUUUUCACAAAAGCUCGCAGAGGUAAAUAUUAUUGUCUUCCUCUGCACAUAAGGAAACGAAUGUUCGGAAAGAUUAAGUCAACUCACUGAGAUGCUGCAGGUGCUCUUUCACAGGCCCCUGCUGCCGUCUCAUUGAACUAUUGACAUCAGAAAAACCUGGGGACCUUGCUAACCUUCAGAUUCCUGGGCCGCAUCUUGGAUGCAGGGAGUCAGACUUCCGGGGAGUGUGGCCCCGGAAUUCGCAUUUUUAAACACAUUCCCCAGGAGACUUGUAGGCACACUAAAGUUGGGGAACUCAUGAUCUCUGGCUUUCAUGAUGUUUUAAAUGCACUACAUAAAUCCAGUAGCAAAAGAGUUUGGCUUUGGGAAGGGAGUGUGUGGUGAACCCUGAAAGCUGAAUGGACUUCCUUCCUGUGGAGGGGCAGUGGGAAAAAUUGGAGGCAGAGAGGUGUGUUGCAGUCCUUGAUGGAGCUUAUGUGAGUUAUUUAAUCUCUCAGUCUCUAGUUUUUCAUCUGUAAACCAGCAAGGAUACUUUUAUUUCCAGGUGGUUGUGAAGUGUGGAAGAGAUGAGAGUAGAAUAAAAUUUUAAAAAA
rnacentral:lncRNA from 1 species